AACUUCAAACAGAAUCCAUAUCUAUCCCAGAAGACAAUCCAAGCAGGAUAACUCGACGAACAUGCAGAGGUAAGGCUGACUUACUGACAUGUAAUGGACACUUGUAUUGUGGUCGUAAUGAAGGCUACAGAUGUUGUGGAUUUGGUGUCUACCACCCUAAAUCACAGACAUGUUGCCGGCAAACAAGCGCAGAGUUCAAGAUCUAUGAUGACAAACCAGAGAAAAAACACAUUUUUUCGAGUAGAUAUUACAAAACAAAAGAAAGGACAAUACCUUACAGCUGAUGUUAGUCUGUGGAACUGGCGCCCGGCAUCGACCCGGGGAAAAAUGGUACGAAAAUUGCGAAAAAUCCAUGCAAAAUGCAGGAGCUAACUCAUUAAUGAAACACUAUGUAAAUAUUUGUUAUUUAUGUGGAUUUUAGGAAUAAGAAUGACAAAAAUCAACGGAAUUGUAUACAGAAGCAUUAAGGAGAUGUAAAUAGUGUAAACAGUUGCAAAAUAGAUUUAAAAUGUUUAGCCGCAAAUCUAUUGACACAAUUUAAAGUAGUACAACAUUGAAUAUCGCAGGUGAUCUAAAUUGCUCACUUGUUAUAUGAUUACUGUUACACUCACACUAUGUUUUUCAGAUUUGUCAAUCAGUUGUAUAUAGUUAUUGAUAUACUCUUUAAACUCUGUAUGACCAUGCAUUGUAAAACUUCUUUCAGUUUAAGUUCAUUACUUUUGUUCUUACAAGUUCUUUACUUUUGUUUCAAGACGUAUCGGACACUGAAUAUAGUGCAUGUUUUUCUAUAUAUUGUUUUCGUUUGUAUAAAUCUAGCAUUAUCUUUGUUAGUUUGUUUCUAAAUAUUUAUACUUUCUGUUUGUCGUUUUUCGAAUAAUGUGUUCACAUAAAGCAUUUUUAUUAGUGUGCAACCAGUCACACUGUUGACAUAAAAUGGAAUACUCAUUGGUUCACUAAAUUAGUCUUAUAUUUCAUGUUGUUGUGCUUUAUUACAGAUGUAUUAAAGUUUGCAUCAGAUAAUAGUUAUUAUCACAUGUUUGAUGUCGCGGGAGUGUAAUAAAGCCAUUACAUACACUAGUGUAAUAAAGCUUUGACGUCGACGUCGUUUAACUCGUAGGAGACGUUGGUCAAAUUGCCUUGUUUAUAAUAUUUAAAGAAAGUAGAUUUUUUCAUGUUUAGGCAGAAAAAGCUAACAUGUGAUAAAAAGAAUAUUACAUUUGUGACUUUCCACAUUGAAUUUAUUAAACGAGUUGAAUAAAAAUGAUAAAAUGCUCGACAGAGUCUCGCAUUUUAUUAUUUUAUUCAACUCGUUUAAUAAAUUCAAUAUGAAAAGGCAAUCCUCUAUUUAAUAAGUAUUGAUUCUGUAAACUUUACCGAAUUGAUUUAUUUAUUAACUGAGAAUGUCCAAGGUGUCUAUUUUCUUAAUUUAGUAAUAGAUUGUGUAGGUACAGUGCUUUGUUAACAUUUGUUAAAUUUUGAUUUUAAUUAUUUUUUUACAUUAGGUAAAAUACUGUACUUAAGCUUUGCUUCAAGUAACAGUUUUCACAGCAAAAUAAUUGUAGAUGAAACACGCUUUCUACUACAAGGACUUGAAAGCUGAUGUGUUUGAAACGCUCAUCUCAUGUGAUUUAAAUUCAAGUUUAUCUAACAUACAGAAAAUUUCUGUCUUGUAAAAUGAAUACCAAAGAAAAAUAUCAAAUUGUUUAAUUUAAGGCUACAAGAAUAUGAAGAUUUUUUAAUAUUCCAAACUUGGUGAAUAUUAAUGAUAUUUCAUAUACUGUUCGAUAUUCAUAUAUUUAUUUUGUAACAUUACAUUUAAUAUUUGUUUUUCUCUUUAUGUACUUUGUACAAUUAGGGGAAUGAUUUUAUGUCUGUCUAUCAGUUAUUCUAAUAGGAGACAUGUUAUUGCAUCUAUAACUAUACACAAAUUGUAUAUACUUUAUCAUGUGUAUUAUGUUUCUUGUUUGACUAGGUGACUAAUAGGCCCACUGGGCCGGGUGUUUACUUUCUUGCCUUUGAAGUUUUAUGUUUAUAAAUAUGUACUACACAUGUCUCUAUAAUAGAAUAUUUACUAUCUUA